AACGAACGCUGGCGGCAGGCUUAACACAUGCAAGUCGAGCGCCCCGCAAGGGGAGCGGCAGACGGGUGAGUAACGCGUGGGAAUCUACCCAUCUCUACGGAACAACUCCGGGAAACUGGAGCUAAUACCGUAUACGUCCUUCGGGAGAAAGAUUUAUCGGAGAUGGAUGAGCCCGCGUUGGAUUAGCUAGUUGGUGGGGUAAUGGCCUACCAAGGCGACGAUCCAUAGCUGGUCUGAGAGGAUGAUCAGCCACACUGGGACUGAGACACGGCCCAGACUCCUACGGGAGGCAGCAGUGGGGAAUAUUGGACAAUGGGCGCAAGCCUGAUCCAGCCAUGCCGCGUGGAUGAAGAAGGCCCUAGGGUUGUAAAGUCCUUUCGGCGGGGACGAUAAUGACGGUACCCGCAGAAGAAGCCCCGGCUAAUUUCGUGCCAGCAGCCGCCGUAACAC
rnacentral:rRNA from 1 species